ensembl:lncRNA
GGGGUGAUCAGCCAGAGGGGAAGUAGCUCUGAGUGCUCAUAGUUACAGUAGUAACCUUCUUACAUCAGAGCUGAAGAGCAGUUCUUUUAGCGGGAUGGAAGAAAAGAAUCCCACGUGCACUUUUUGAUGGAUCUGCCUUUCUCUGCUGCAGCCUUCUGUAAAAGCAAUUAUAGCAGUCGCUGCUCCUUGCUGAGGAUUCGGUUUCCCUGGGAGAAGAGAGGCCAUCAGAAAACAAACCCAUGGCAGCUGGUACAGCCUGCCUGCUGGAAACACAAAGCAGGAUUGUGGUGACAGUGCUGCCACCUUGACAGUGAGCAUCCCCUUACGUCGCUCCUGGAAACUGGAGCUCUGCUAACCCUGCUCUGAAUGCAAAACCUUCCCAGCUGGCUAUUUCUAGAUACCUGGGUGGUUGUUGGGAAGUUGUGACAUCAUCAUCAGGGAAAACAAAACUCUAAGUAUGUUUAUUGGGGGAGGUCUGUAUCGCUUGUAAGGUGAAGUGCUCCAUAAACAGGAAAACACUGAGAGAAAUAAACAUUAGCACUUAGCAGCUAAUUCAGAGGCAAGAAAUGGAGAGAGCAGAAUAUUGCAGUUCAUUCCUUUGACUGGCAUCGCAGACUGUUUACCUCUGUUUCGUAAUCUCUUCUCCCAGUAGCAAAUCUAAUCUGCCUACCAGUGUAAGUAUUCACCAGUGCAGUGCUCUCUUUUUGCAGCCGCAGAAGCAGAGCUUCUCUGGCUGAACCCCUCCAGCUGUGCUGCACCCUGCUGAGCUCAGACCCUGCUGCACAGUGCUGCAGUGCCCAUGCAGGGUGAAGGACAUCCCACUCGGUGGUGGCUGUGUAGGGGAGGAGGAAAAGGUGGUAUGAGUUGGGUCACAAGAACUGCAGCUAGGAGGAAAGACAACAUGAAGGAUGAGGAGGGGAAUGUAAAGCUGGGAAGGGACUACAAGUUCUGCUGUCAUGUCAUAAUUAGCAUUACAGAUCUGAUUUAGGGCAGACAUGCCUUACUUGUGUCAUGCAAUCCUGUCUUCUAUUUACUUGUGUAUGAAUGAACCUAGAACAAAAUUAAGUUAUCCCGUGACAAGGUCUCUGUUUGCAGUUUUCAGUAAAAAUAUGUAUUUGCUUAGAAAUAUGAACAAGUUAGUAAAAAAAGCAAGCCGCAUCAGCAUAUAGCUUGCAUCAGUACAGCCUGGGUGCUGCUAUUCUUAUGACACUGGUAUAGCAAAGCUACCAGAGAGAACAUCGUCUUUGACUUGCCUGGGCUUCACUGCUGAGCUCUCCAGGCUCACCAACUCAUAAUGACUCUGCAACACUGCCAGCAGCUCAUGUGGAGAGGAAAGAAAGGAUGCUGAAAGGAAAAAAUCUUUCCAAAGCAGAACUCUUCGGUAAAGCAAAAAAUGGAGACUAAGAAAAUGCUGAAGCUAAGGUAGGAGAGAAGUAUGAGUAGCCUUUGGAAGGGAGAGGAGAAAUCUUAAAUCUGAAGAAAUACAUUCAUAUAGAGAUCUUUUACUAGCCUCAGUAAUAGCCUCAUAAAGUCAUAAGCCACCUGUGAGUCCAGACAGUUACAGGUGUUUGUCAAGCGUGCUCAGCAUAAUGUAUGUCAUGUUACGUUAUGCCUAAAAUUCCAAGUUUGUGUAGUAAGCCAACUGGUUCAUGUGUAAAAUCAACUGGAAGAAGUUCUUGUUUGAAAAAACACAACAGUGAUGGUUAAAUAAAUAUCUUAUGUGCU